rnacentral:rRNA from 1 species
UACGUAGGGUGCAAGCGUUGUCCGGAAUUAUUGGGCGUAAAGAGCUCGUAGGCGGUUUGUUGCGUCGGCUGUGAAAUCCCGAGGCUCAACCUCGGGUCUGCAGUCGAUACGAGCAAACUAGAGUGUUGCAGGGGAGACUGGAAUUCCCAGUGUAGCGGUGAAAUGCGUAGAUAUUGGGAGGAACACCAGUGGCGAAGGCGGCUACCUGGACCGGUUCUGACGCUGAUGCGCGGAAAGCGUGGGUAGCAAACGGG